CUGAGUCCUAUGUGUGGAGGGACAGUAACUGUGUGUGUAUAUGUGGCACUAUGUUAAAGACAGAGACAUGAAAAUAGUAGCCCCCCAUUUUAUUUUAUGCUCAGAGACACUUUCGUUUAGUAGGCCACUGUAAUGUCAGUUUUACUGUUGUAUAAGUUCCACCAGCAGAGGGCGCUCAGUCCUGUACGCAUCGGUAGCUGACGCUACACUAGAAGAAGUAGUGUCAGUGGUGAAGAGGCAGCGUACGGCCCGCGCGCCGAAAGAACUGAUUAAUCAGACAUUUUUCUGUCUUUACAGUCUCUUCCAGGUUGAAACCAGGAGAUUGGAUCCUGAUAAAAGUGCUCCAGAGGGAAAAGUGGAGCUCCCCGAGGUGGGAAGGACCCUACCAAGUCCUCCUGGCCACACCAACAGCCUGCAAAAUUGCUGAACGACCUUCCUGGAUUCAUCAGAGCCACUGUAAAAAAUCUACUCACUCACAGGACCAGGUGUGUUCGGUCAUCAUGAAGACCAUACUCGUUCUGGUGGCCAGUGUCACAUUUCUGUUGGGACUGCUGUCGCUGAUUUCAGAAGAAGAAGGACAAGAUUGACACAUGACACAAUACAUCCAGACGACAUGACACAAGAUCACAACCACCCAUGGAUGAACAAUGCCUGGUACCGUUAUGUGUAAAACUCCACAAGAGACAGAAACUAUUACAUCUGUUCGCACAUGUCUCUUAAUGCAAAACACCUGAUAAUGUGCAUUCCACCAACUUGUCUGACACACUGAACACGCUACGUCAGCUCAGACGAGUACAGCAGCAAGAUUACACACACAACACCGAGGACUGGCUCACAUGGCUGCUUAGCGGGUCAUGGAAGUCAUUACUCACAAAAGGACUAACAUUCGUUGGAAUGCUCCUUAUGUUACUUUGCUUAUUUUCCACAUGUGUACUGCCUUGUAUUCGGAGUAUGAUAAGCAAAACGUUUACUGUAAGAUUGCAAGCUUACAUUGCAUUAUCCCAAGUUGAACAAGCUCGAGAAAAGGUACAAGUUGAAGAAGAUGAUUUUUAAGCACUAAACUGUGUGAACCCAAUAAAGUUGAUCAUGUACGUUUUCACAAAAUGAUACUCUAGUUGAAAAUGCUUCUGCAAGUGACUAGUAGUUGAAGAACAUAAAUAUAUAUGAACAACAGCAGGGAAUGUUAAGGGAUUUUGUGAUUUUAUGAUGUUUUUCCUUUUUAAUACAUCUUCCUUUUUAAUGUUUCAUUUACUCAGUUCUCCUUAUAAUGUUCCAUUUACUCAUUUACUCAUAUGCUCCUGUUAAGAAAGGCUUGGAAAGCACAUAGUGUUCACAUAUCUUUAUGUUUUGUCUUUGCUUCUUCUCACACACAUACACAUGAGCCCUGCAGUAUUCGCUGACUCCUGUGAAAGUCUCUUGCAGACACCCUUGGAAACAGGACCCAACUGGCUUCUGUUUUCCUCGAGAUAGACAAUACACUCACACACACACACACACACACACUGUGUCCCAUACAUGCCCAGAUUGUUUGUUACAGCCUGACAAAACAGGGAAUGCUACGAAGUAUAAAUAAAGCUGACUGCAAAGCCUCGGAG
ensembl:lncRNA